GACGAACGCUGGCGGCGUGCCUAAUACAUGCAAGUCGAGCGAAGUUUUUCUGGUGCUUGCACUAGAAAAACUUAGCGGCGAAUGGGUGAGUAACACGUAAAGAACCUGCCUCAUAGACUGGGACAACUAUUGGAAACGAUAGCUAAUACCGGAUAACAGUAUUUCUCGCAUGAGAGAUAUUUAAAAGUUGGUUAUGCUAACACUAUGAGAUGGCUUUGCGGUGCAUUAGCUAGUUGGUGGGGUAAAGGCCCACCAAGGCGACGAUGCAUAGCCGACCUGAGAGGGUGAUCGGCCACACUGGGACUGAGACACGGCCCAGACUCCUACGGGAGGCAGCAGUAGGGAAUCUUCCGCAAUGGGCGAAAGCCUGACGGAGCAACGCCGCGUGAGUGAAGAAGGAUUUCGGUUCGUAAAGCUCUGUUGUUAGGGAAGAAUGGAUAUGUAGUAACUAUACAUGUAAGAGACGGUACCUAACCAGAAAGCCACGGCUAACUACGUG
rnacentral:rRNA from 1 species